GUGGGGAAUCUUAGACAAUGGGGGAAACCCUGAUCUAGCCAUGCCGCGUGAGCGAUGAAGGCCUUAGGGUUGUAAAGCUCUUUCAGCUGGGAAGAUAAUGACGGUACCAGCAGAAGAAGCCCCGGCUAACUCCGUGCCAGCAGCCGCGGUAAUACGGAGGGGGCUAGCGUUGUUCGGAAUUACUGGGCGUAAAGCGCACGUAGGCGGACUGGAAAGUCAGGGGUGAAAUCCCGGGGCUCAACCCCGGAACUGCCUUUGAAACUCCCAGUCUUGAGUUCGAGAGAGGUGAGUGGAAUUCCGAGUGUAGAGGUGAAAUUCGUAGAUAUUCGGAGGAACACCAGUGGCGAAGGCGGCUCACUGGCUCGAUACUGACGCUGAGGUGCGAAAGCGUGGGGAGCAAACAGGAUUAGAUACCCGUGUAGUCC
rnacentral:rRNA from 1 species